rnacentral:rRNA from 1 species
GACGAACGCUGGCGGCGUGCUUAACACAUGCCAGUCGAACGGAAAGGCCCUGCUUUUGUGGGGUGCUCGAGUGGCGAACGGGUGAGUAACACGUGAGUAACCUGCCCUUGACUUUGGGAUAACUUCAGGAAACUGGGGCUAAUACCGGAUAGGAGCUCCUGCUGCAUGGUGGGGGUUGGAAAGUUUCGGCGGUUGGGGAUGGACUCGCGGCUUAUCAGCUUGUUGGUGGGGUAGUGGCUUACCAAGGCUUUGACGGGUAGCCGGCCUGAGAGGGUGACCGGCCACAUUGGGACUGCGAUACGGACCAGACUCCUACGGGAGGCAGCAGUGGGGAAUCUUGCACAAUGGGCGGAAGCCUGAUGCAGCAACGCCGCGUGCGGGAUGACGGCCUUCGGGUUGUAAACCGCUUUCGCCUGUGACGAAGCGUGAGUGACGGUAAUGGGUAAAGAAGCACCGGCUAACUACGUG